ncrna:Parvimonas sp. oral taxon 110 str. F0139 dfrA-dnaX RNA
AUGCCUAAUGAUAAAGCUAUUAAUAUUUCAUCAUAAUUACCUUAAUUUAGUUAUAAAAAUGGAAUUAUGAUAUAAU